GAUGAACGCUGGCGGCGUGCCUAAUACAUGCAAGUCGAGCGAACAGAUGAGGAGCUUGCUCCUCUGACGUUAGCGGCGGACGGGUGAGUAACACGUGGAUAACCUACCUAUAAGACUGGGAUAACUUCGGGAAACCGGAGCUAAUACCGGAUAAUAUAUUGAACCGCAUGGUUCAAUAGUGAAAGACGGUUUUGCUGUCACUUAUAGAUGGAUCCGCGCCGCAUUAGCUAGUUGGUAAGGUAACGGCUUACCAAGGCAACGAUGCGUAGCCGACCUGAGAGGGUGAUCGGCCACACUGGAACUGAGACACGGUCCAGACUCCUACGGGAGGCAGCAGUAGGGAAUCUUCCGCAAUGGGCGAAAGCUUGACGGAGCAACGCCGCGUGAGUGAUGAAGGUCUUCGGAUCGUAAAACUCUGUUAUUAGGGAAGAACAAAUGUGUAAGUAACUAUGCACGUCUUGACGGUACCUAAUCAGAAAGCAACGGCUAACUACGUG
rnacentral:rRNA from 1 species